GACGAACGCUGGCGGCGUGCUUAACACAUGCAAGUCGAACGUGAUUUUUGUGGAAAUUCUUUCGGGAAUGGAAAUGAAAUGAAAGUGGCGAACGGGUGAGUAACACGUGAGCAACCUACCUUACACAGGGGGAUAGCCGUUGGAAACGACGAUUAAUACCGCAUGAGACCACAGAAUCGCAUGAUAUAGGGGUCAAAGAUUUAUCGGUGUAAGAAGGGCUCGCGUCUGAUUAGCUAGUUGGAAGGGUAAAGGCCUACCAAGGCGACGAUCAGUAGCCGGUCUGAGAGGAUGAACGGCCACAUUGGAACUGAGACACGGUCCAAACUCCUACGGGAGGCAGCAGUGGGGAAUAUUGCACAAUGGGGGGAACCCUGAUGCAGCGACGCCGCGUGAGCGAAGAAGGUUUUCGAAUCGUAAAGCUCUGUCCUAUGAGAAGAUAAUGACGGUAUCAUAGGAUGAAGCCCCGGCUAAAUACGUG
rnacentral:rRNA from 1 species